GUCGCAAUAGUUGGAGUACCACUUAUUAGUGCUGCAAAAGCAAUCUGAAAAGUUUCUAACUGGCAUCCAGAUGUUUGUGUAUUAAGUUACAAAAGUUAUAUCCUAUUAUAUUGAACAGUGUUGCCUCCAACAUGAAGAAGCAAGUACAAUCUGUAAAAUGUGUCUUUUAAUAGCAUAUUAUGUAAUUUUAAUAUAUUUAAACCAUUAUGCAUUAUAUGCAUAUCUCAACUAUGAUCUUGGGAAAAGACAGCACUCUAAGAAAAAAAAUAUAUUUUAAAUUGCAUAGCUGUCUGCAGACAGAAAGAUUUCGACUCACAGACCAGAACCAAUGCCAUGUUGUUGAGACACCCAGAUGCCUGACUUUCCACAUUAGCAUAUUGAGCUGGGACUUCUGGAAGAAUUGUGGAAGCGGAGCUUUCAGAACUACUGUGCCCAAGGCGGAGUUUCCUCAAGGUCCUACUGGAGGUACAUAGAUGAUGCACAACAGCAUUUUUAAAAUAUAAACAUACACAUACUCACACAGUACAGUGCAAUCACAGUUACUACUGCAGCUGUGACAAUGUCACGUUAAUGGGGUUUGUUACAUUUUGGGAUGUUGGAUAUAAUGGGUUUUUGGAAUACACUGUAGUCCAACUGGAGGCUUGGGUAAAAUGUUCAGCCCUUAAGAGUUAAAUGCCCACCCUACAAAUAAUAUGAAAAAAUUGCUUGUAUUGUAUCAUAUGACCAGUUUAAUAAGAUUAACAACACUUAUGUGUGAUCCUUAAAAAUACGUGGUUACAAAAGUGGCACAAAACUGUUAACAGACAGAUUCCGUAUGCACGGAACAUCACUUACUCAACCAACAGGUCCACUAAAGCAGAAGUGAAUAGACAGAGAAGCUAUCCCAUAUUUGAUAGUGGGUGCAUUAUGAACUAGGUCCAGCCCUAUGUAUAUACAUAUAUAUGUGUGUUUGUAUGACUGUGUAUAUAGUUUUUAUCUGUACAUUUAUAUAUAUAAAACAAGGAAUGUAGUCCGCUGAUAAGAAAGCACAACUGAGCCAUUAUAUUCAGUCUCUCUGACCUUUCUCCCUCCCUUCCUCUAUUUUGAUUCACCCCUCCUCCCCCCACCCCCCCAAUGACUGUAGUCAUUUCGGAAACAAUGAUGCAAUGCGAUUGGCUUGAAUAACUCAGCCAAAGAUAUUGUCUUCCUUCUAUGACACAUGGUUAUUGUUGAGUGUCAGUAUAGUUUUUGUAAGCAAAAACUACAUGGAGAGACAAAAUUACUAUUAAACAAUCAAUAUUAGCUAGGUGCAAACCAUACAAGCACUCCCUCAAGUGCUUAAACACAAUAAUCACUAUAUAAUAUAGAAUGCACACUGUUACACUCACGGAUAUUAAAUAUAAACCUUUAAUAAGUAUUCAAAUAAAGAAUAUUUUACAUAUUAUACAAAAAAGGAACAGAGUAACCGUACAAAGCAAAUUGCACACAAAAUAAUAUAUCCAAACCUUAGAAGCCUCAAGGCAGGGACACAAGUCACCAACUACACCAACGUUUUGGCACCAAAUGGCUGCCUUUAUCAAGGGUACCUGUAUCUGUGUCCUCAUGUGUCUGCUUAUAAAGCCCCAUACAGCUGAUGGACAUCAGCAUG
rnacentral:lncRNA from 1 species